rnacentral:pre_miRNA from 1 species
CAAUUACUCCCUCCGUCCCGAAAUAAGUGUCUCAAGCUUAGUAUAAAUUUGUACUAGAGAUAGUACAAAGUUGAGACACUUAUUUUGGGACGGAGGGAGUACUAA